AGAUGGCGGGAUGGCAUCACUGACUCCAUGGACUUUUGAAAGGAUACCACCCAAUGGGUUAUCUUAAAGAUGAAAGAGGAAUCAGCCGGAAUUCUCUCUUUCAGACCACUGCUCAUCUCCUCCCUCCAGAUGGCACACUCUGCAGCUUCCUAGCAUCCAACAUAUGUACAACAGAAGAAAUAUUUCCCUUUUCAUCGGAAAAAACCCUGAUGCUGGGAAAGACUGAGGGCAGGAGGAGAAGGGGACGACUGAGGACGAGAUGGUUGGAUGGUAUCAACGACUCAGCAGACAUGAGUUUGAGCAAGCUCUGGGAGAUGGUGAAGGACAGAUAUCAUGUACAUUUGGAGACGAAACAAAUAUAGACGAACUGAUGAGGGGCUAGAGGCAGACAGAAGUCACAUGGCUUGCCCAAGACACCUAGAAGAAGGAAGGGCUCGGCCUGGAAUUGAGGCUGUCUGCCUCCAAGUCUUCUCUUCGAACCUCUGGCCCAAACUGUCUCUCGAUAAAGG
ensembl:lncRNA